AAAAUGGCGGAAGAUCAUCUGUUGCAACUGAGGGCAGGACUGUGAGGAAGUCUAUCUUACCAACAGUGACAAGGAGGUCUUUACCAGCGCCAAGGGGGGUCAAUAAGGAAGACAUGAGCAACA